rnacentral:rRNA from 1 species
UACGUAGGGUGCAAGCGUUGUCCGGAAUUAUUGGGCGUAAAGAGCUCGUAGGCGGUCUGUCGCGUCUGCUGUGAAAACUCAGGGCUUAACCCUGAGCUUGCAGUGGGUACGGGCAGACUAGAGUGCGGUAGGGGAGACUGGAAUUCCUGGUGUAGCGGUGAAAUGCGCAGAUAUCAUGAGGAAGACCAGUGGCGAAGGCGGGUCUCUGGGCCACUACUGACGCUGAGAAGCGAAAGCAUGGGGAGCGAACGGG